AGUCCAUGAUGUGGACAUUUCCAAAGCAAAUCUCUGAAUCUUUCCCAUGCCUCAUAUAAUGAUUCACCUUCCUAUUGGUUAAAACUAGUGAUAUCUAUUCUUAGCUU